rnacentral:rRNA from 1 species
AUUCCAGCUCCAAUAGCGUAUACUAAAGUUGUUGCAGUUAAAAAGCUCGUAGUUGAAUUUCUGGUCGUGGCAAUCGGUCAGCCCCUCACGGGGUUCGUACCAGGUUGCUGCGUCCAUCCUCGGGGAGAGCACAUCGGGCAUUCAGUUGUCUGGUGUGGGAUCCUCGUCAUUUACUGUGAGCAAAAUAGAGUGUUCAAAGCAGGCUUAGGCCGUUGAAUACAUUAGCAUGGAAUAAUAAGAUAGGACCUUGGUCUAUUUUGUUGGUUUGCAUUCCAAGGUAAUGAUUAAUAGGGAUAGUUGGGGGUAUUCGUAUUCAAUUGUCAGAGGUGAAAUUCUUGGAUUUAUGGAAGACGAACUACUGCGAAAGCAUUUACCAAGGAUGUUUUCAUCA